AUAGUAGUCCCUCUGUUUCAAAUUAUUGUCCUUCAUUUGUCUAGAUAUGAAUGUAUCUAGUCACGUUUUAGUAUUUGGAUACAUCAAUUUUUAGACAAACCUAAGACAAGAAUUUUAAAACGGAAGGAGUAGAUG
rnacentral:pre_miRNA from 1 species